CCAGAUCCAGCAUAAAACCCGGCCGCCACAUGUGACUUCCCAUCCCCUCGUUUCGAUCCCCGUACCCUAACUCCUACAUUCAAAGCUCCAUCAAAACUAGAAACAUCAAUCUCCAUAAUUACUUUCACCUUCAUCAUCAUCUUAUUUCUAGAUGCUUCACGGAAGCCAUGAACAAAUCCGUACGCAAAUCCGAGCUUGUUUCACCAAGUAGAAUCCAUCAUUCAUCUUCUCCAAAUCAACGGAUUUAUAUCGAAGCCUAGGUCCUUGGCAUGUUGCGAUGGAAUCGGGACGACUAGGCCGAUGAAUGUGUUCACAAGACUCAGUUUGAUAAGAUAAGUAAGAGGCAUGAGAAAACAUACCAAAUCGUGACUCCGACGCGGUUGCUCCGCCGAGGAUAAUGAACUGAAAAGGAUGGGCUUGAAUCAGGUGAUAACUCCUCUUCUCUUUGUCGCGCCUAAACUCCGCCGCUUUGUCUUCCCCAAGGCUUCACACGAUGUGCUUCAACGGAUGCUUCCCGGAUCACCGGGGCCGGUCGUGGUGUAGUAAUAUCGGUGCGCCCAAACUCUGAAGCUAAAUCCAAUUCGGAGCUAAAAUGCACUCGUCGACGCGUAUGGAUUCCGGAAUCGUUCGCUCAUUAUCAAAACUCCAUGGUUCGGCCAAGAUUUGCAAAGCUCUGAGCCUCGGUUUGAAACUCUGAUUGCGAACAGGGUAUUUACAACAAAAAAUGAUAGUUGUGGUGAUGCCUCAAGGGCUGCAACUGCCUGGGUCUGAGCAAUAACAUUUCCGCCUUUCUCUAAUCAGUUAAUCCAUAUCUAAACUAGUUAAUUAAGAUGAACCUCGACAAGGUACUCCAAAAUAAAGGGGACUUUCUACUGAAGCGCGGAUCCAUCGAAGGCACCUUCGUCAUCAGCGUCGUCAUGUUUUAAACUUCCUUUUGUUUCUUCUUUCUUUUUGAAACCGUCUAGCAGCAAGCCUUGAGUAGCGUGGGAUUGGACUGUGAUGAAGUGCCUUAAUCCAUACUCCAAUUAUCUCCAA